AAGUAAACUAAACAUUGACCAAUGAACCAUGAAAAUGAGGUCAAGGUCAGAUGAACCAUGCUAGGCAGGCAUGUACAGCUAACAAUUCUUCCAUACAACAAAUAUAGUUGACCUAUUGCUUAUAGUUUAAGAAAAACAGACCAAAACACAAAAACUUAACACUGAGCAAUGAACCUUGAAAAUGAGGUCAAGGUCAAAUAAAACCUGCGUGACUGCCAAAUAGAUCAUAAAAUAUUUCCAUACACCAAAUAUAGUUGAACUAUUGCAUAUAGUAUAAGAAAAACAGACCAAAACACAAAAACUUAACUAUAACCACUGAACCAUGAAAAUGAGGUCAAGGUCAGAUGACACCUGCCAGUUGGACAUGUACACCUUACAGUCCUUCCAUACACCAAAUAUACUAGACCUAUUGCUUAUAGUAUCUGAGAUAUGGACUUGACCACCAAAACUUAACCUUGUUCAUUGAUCCAUGAAAUGAGGUCGAGGUCAAGUGAAAACUGUCUGACGGGCAUGAGGACCUUGCAAGGUACGCACAUACCAAAUAUAGUUGAACUAUUGCACAUAGUAUUAGAAAAAAAGACCAAAACUCAAAAACUUAACUUUGACCACUGAACCAUGAAAAUAAGGUCAAGGUCAGAUGACACCUGCCCGCUAGACAUGUACACCUUACAAUCAUUCCAUACACCAAAUAAAGUAGACCUAUGGCAUACAGUAUAAGAAAAACAGACCAAAACACAAAAACUUAACU